UAAUUUAAUGGCCGCGGUAUUUUGACCGUGCAAAGGUAGCAUAAUCAUUAGUUCAUUAAUUGUGGACUUGUAUGAAUGGUUGGACGAAAUAUUUACUGUCUCAUAAUUAAUUUUGUAAUUUAAAUUUUAAGUUAAAAUGCUUAAAUUUUUUUAUAGGACGAGAAGACCCUAUAGAUCUUUAUUAUAAUAUAAAUUAUUUUUUUUAAAAUUUUUUAUUAAUUUAUCUUAUUUUUUUGUUGGGGUGACAUUUGGAUAUAUUUAACUCUUUUUUUUAAUAAUCACUUAUUUUUGUAUACUUGACCUUUUAUUAUUGUUAUAAGAUAUAGAUACCUUAGGGAUAACAGCGUAAUAUUUUUUGAGAGUUCUUAUCGACAAAAUAGAUUGCGACCUCGAUGUUGGAUUAAGAUUAUGAUUAGGUGUAGGUGCUUAAUUAUUAAGUCUGUUCGACUUUUAAAUUCUUACAUGAUCUGAGUC
rnacentral:rRNA from 1 species